CUAACACAUGCAAGCCGAGCGGUAGAGAUCUUUCGGGAUCUUGAGAGCGGCGUACGGGUGCGGAACACGUGUGCAACCUGCCUUUAUCAGGGGGAUAGCCUUUCGAAAGGAAGAUUAAUACCCCAUAAUAUAUUGAGUGGCAUCACUUAAUAUUGAAAACUCCGGUGGAUAGAGAUGGGCACGCGCAAGAUUAGAUAGUUGGUGAGGUAACGGCUCACCAAGUCUGCGAUCUUUAGGGGGCCUGAGAGGGUGAUCCCCCACACUGGUACUGAGACACGGACCAGACUCCUACGGGAGGCAGCAGUGAGGAAUAUUGGACAAUGGGUGCGAGCCUGAUCCAGCCAUCCCGCGUGAAGGACGACGGCCCUAUGGGUUGUAAACUUCUUUUGUAUAGGGAUAAACCUACUCUCGUGAGAGUAGCUGAAGGUACUAUACGAAUAAGCACCGGCUAACUCCGUGCCAGCAGCCGCGGUAAUACGGAGGGUGCAAGCGUUAUCCGGAUUUAUUGGGUUUAAAGGGUCCGUAGGCGGAUCUGUAAGUCAGUGGUGAAAUCUCACAGCUUAACUGUGAAACUGCCAUUGAUACUGCAGGUCUUGAGUGUUGUUGAAGUAGCUGGAAUAAGUAGUGUAGCGGUGAAAUGCAUAGAUAUUACUUAGAACACCAAUUGCGAAGGCAGGUUACUAAGCAACAACUGACGCUGAUGGACGAAAGCGUGGGGAGCGAACAGGAUUAGAUACCCUGGUAGUCCACGCCGUAAACGAUGCUAACUCGUUUUUGGGUUUUCGGAUUCAGAGACUAAGCGAAAGUGAUAAGUUAGCCACCUGGGGAGUACGAACGCAAGUUUGAAACUCAAAGGAAUUGACGGGGGCCCGCACAAGCGGUGGAUUAUGUGGUUUAAUUCGAUGAUACGCGAGGAACCUUACCAAGGCUUAAAUGGGAAAUGACAGGCUUAGAAAUAGGCUUUUCUUCGGACAUUUUUCAAGGUGCUGCAUGGUUGUCGUCAGCUCGUGCCGUGAGGUGUUAGGUUAAGUCCUGCAACGAGCGCAACCCCUGUCACUAGUUGCCAUCAUUAAGUUGGGGACUCUAGUGAGACUGCCUACGCAAGUAGAGAGGAAGGUGGGGAUGACGUCAAAUCAUCACGGCCCUUACGCCUUGGGCCACACACGUAAUACAAUGGCCGGUACAGAGGGCAGCUACACUGCGAAGUGAUGCAAAUCUCGAAAGCCGGUCUCAGUUCGGAUUGGAGUCUGCAACUCGACUCUAUGAAGCUGGAAUCGCUAGUAAUCGCGCAUCAGCCAUGGCGCGGUGAAUACGUUCCCGGGCCUUGUACACACCGCCCGUCAAGCCAUGGAAGUCUGGGGUACCUGAAGUCGGUGACC
rnacentral:rRNA from 1 species